rnacentral:lncRNA from 1 species
UGAUCCCACACAAAGCCCCAUGUUGAAACCACGCUUUCGUCUUCACUGAGGAUCUGGAGCAGCUCUCAGCUGUUCACGCUGAUGACACAGAGCGAGCAAAACGGAGCCCAGGGUCUUAUGGAAAGCAGAAGCACUCAGAAGCAUUCACACGGGGUUAGUCCUGCUCUUCAGACCAGGGAUUAAAG